GACGAACGCUGGCGGCGUGCCUAAUACAUGCAAGUCGAGCGAACAGAUGAGGAGUUUGCUCCUCCGACGUUAUCGGCGGAGGGGAGAGUAACACGUGGAUAAACUACCUAUAAGAAUGGGAUAAUUUUGGGAAACCGGAGCUAAUACCGGAUAAUAUAUUGAACUGCAUGGUUCAAUAGUGAAAGACGGUUUUGCUGUCACUUAUAGAUGGAUCCGCGCCGCAUUAUCUAGUUGGUAAGGUAACGGCUUACCAAGGCAACGAUGGGUAGCCGACCUGAAAGCGAGGACGACCACACUGGAUCAGAGGCACAGUAGAGACACCUGCAGUGAGCAACGGUAGGAAAUCUUCCGCGAGGGAGGAGUGCCUAACGGUGCGACACGGCGUAAGUGAUGAAGGUCUUCUGAUCGGAGAACUCUGAUAGUAUUAGGGAACAAAUAUGUAAGUACCUGGGCACAUCUUGACGGUACCUGGUCAGAAAGCCACGGCUAACUUCGUG
rnacentral:rRNA from 1 species